AAGUCGUAACAAGGUCUCCGUUGGUGAACCAGCGGAGGGAUCAUUACAGAGAAUCUCUCUCUCUCACCAUGGCGAACGUAAACCCCCCCAACGACGUUCUUCGGCGGAGCGGCCCCCGUGGCGGCGCCGCCGGAGAGCCCCUACAAACGCUGUAUUUUCGUGGCUUCUCUGAGUAUGAUUAUCGCAAUCAGUCAAAACUUUCAACAACGGAUCUCUUGGCUCUG
rnacentral:misc_RNA from 1 species